rnacentral:rRNA from 1 species
UACGGGGGGGGGCAAGCGUUGUUCGGAAUUACUGGGCGUAAAGGGCUCGUAGGCGGCCAACUAAGUCGGAUGUGAAAUCCCCAAGCUUAACUUGGGAACUGCAUCCGAUACUGGAUGGCUUGAAUCCGGGAGAGGGAUGCAGAAUUCCAGGUGUAGCGGUGAAAUGCGUAGAUAUCUGGAGGAAUACCGGUGGCGAAAGCGGCUCUCUGGCCCGAUACUGACGCUGAGGCACGAAAGCGUGGGGAGCAAACAGG